CCUACGGGUGGCUGCAGUGGGGAAUAUUGGACAAUGGGGGCAACCCUGAUCCAGCCAUGCCGCGUGUGUGAAGAAGGCCCUCGGGUUGUAAAGCACUUUCAGUGAGGAAGAACGCCUGGUGGUUAAUACCCAUCAGGAAAGACAUCACUCACAGAAGAAGCACCGGCUAACUCCGUGCCAGCAGCCGCGGUAAUACGGAGGGUGCGAGCGUUAAUCGGAAUUACUGGGCGUAAAGCGCGCGUAGGUGGCUUGAUAAGCCGGUUGUGAAAGCCCCGGGCUCAACCUGGGAACGGCAUCCGGAACUGUCAAGCUAGAGUGCAGGAGAGGAAGGUAGAAUUCCCGGUGUAGCGGUGAAAUGCGUAGAGAUCGGGAGGAAUACCAGUGGCGAAGGUGGCCUUCUGGACUGACACUGACACUGAGGUGCGAAAGCGUGGGUAGCAAACAGGAUUAGAUACCCCUGUAGUC
rnacentral:rRNA from 1 species